rnacentral:tRNA from 1 species
GGUUGUAGCUCAGUGGUAGAGUGCUCGCCGCGCACAUGGAAGGCCCUGGAUUCAAUCCUCAGCACCA